rnacentral:rRNA from 1 species
GUGCCAGCAGCCGCGGUAAUACGAAGGGUGCAAGCGUUAAUCGGAAUUACUGGGCGUAAAGCGUGCGUAGGCGGUUUCUUAAGUCUGCUGUGAAAGCCCUGGGCUCAACCUGGGAAUGGCGGUGGAUACUGAGAAGCUGGAGUACGGUAGAGGAAGGUGGAAUUCCCGGUGUAGCGGUGAAAUGCGUAGAGAUCGGGAGGAACAUCAGUGGCGAAGGCGGCCUUCUGGACCAGUACUGACGCUGAGGCACGAAAGCGUGGGGAGCAAACAGGAUUAGAUACCCUCGUAGUCC